UAGUCCACACCGUAAACGAUGAAUGCCAGACGUCGGGGGCAUGCCCUUCGGUGUCACACCUAACGGAUUAAGCAUUCCGCCUGGGGAGUACGGUCGCAAGAUUAAAACUCAAAUGAAUUGACGGGGGCCCGCACAAGCGGUGGAGCAUGUUGUUUAAUUCGAUGCAACGCGAAGAACCUUACCACCCCUUGACAUACUUGGAAUUUUCCAGAGAUGGAUUAGUGCCUUCGGGAACCAAGAUACAGGUGCUGCAUGGCUGUCGUCAGCUCGUGUCGUGAGAUGUUGGGUUAAGUCCCGUAACGAGCGCAACCCUUGUCCUUAUUUGCCAGCGAGUAAUGUCGGGAACUCUAAGGAGACUGCCGAUGACAAACCGGAGGAAGGUGGGACGACGUCAAGUCAUCAUGGCCCUUACGGGUGGGCUACAAACGUGCUACAAUGGUCGGUACAAAGGGCUGCAAACCAGCAAUGGUGAGCGAAUCCCAAAAAACCAAUCGUAGUCCGGAUUGGGGUCUGCAACUCGACCCC
rnacentral:rRNA from 1 species